AUGGGGUGGAGCCACGGAAGUUCGCGCCAUUUGCAGAGGGGAGGAGCCCAGCCUCUUGCGUUCCUGUGUGAUGGGGCCGGAGCCAGUAAACAGGCUUCCUUCUCGCUCUGCUGUAUAAGAAGAAGAAGUAGGAGAAACAAAAUAAGGAGGAGAAGAAGUAAAAUAAUUUGAGAAGGAAUAUGAAGGGGCUGAAAUCCUGGGCUUUCUGGGCAGAAGGAUCUACGAGCGGGAUCGUGGGUGAAACAUGAAGAUGAUGGUGGACAGGUGAGCUACGCAGUUCGUGGAAGAACCAGGGGUCACAUGGCCUAGAUGCUACCCUAGAUGAGAAAGAGUCCAAUGGUUAUCAACAAGUUCUGAAAGGCAAGGCCUAAGGUCCCAUGUGGACAAGCCAGUAAGAGUUUUCAACUUGGGUGCCAGCAGUAACCGGUUAUACAAAGGAAACUCAACAUUCCUCUUCCCCAAAGUAAACCUAUUGCAAAAACCCCUUCCAUCUAAUAAUAGCAACUCAAGGUUAGUAAAUGUGAUUUAUUUCUCUGUCUUCAACACCUAUCAUAGUGGUUAACCGGUUAUAGGAGCUUCACAGACGUAUCUCAAGGAAUGAAUAAAUAAAACAACAGAUAGUUAUCAUUAUCCUGCUAACUUGGCAGGCACUCUUUCUGGAUUUUUAUAUUAAGAAAGAAUUGAAAUGAUCUCUCUCUCUUUUCCUCUCUCUCUCUCCCCCUUUCCUCCCACCCCUAAAGCACAUAUACUUAACCCUUCCUGGGUCUCUGGGCAAACAAGUGAGUUUCUAUGGAUUAAUAACAGAAAAUAAUUCUAAACUUCAUCCUGCCAUGAAUUAACUUCAGAAAUGUGGCAUGUAACUUAACCUGCCUGUACUUUAUGCAAGUAUAAAAAAGCUGAACUAUAUUUUCAAGGCUUUUUAAGCUCCCAAAUGAUGUCACUGUUAAUAUUUCUUGGCAAAAAUUAGAAGUUUAU
rnacentral:lncRNA from 1 species